rnacentral:rRNA from 1 species
GUCGUAAGGGAAAAUAAUGAUAAUACCUUACUAUGAGUGUCGUCCAAAUCUGGUGCCAGAAGACUCGGUAAGACCAGAGACGCAAACGUUAAUCAUCAUAAACAGGCGUAAAGGGUUUGUAGGCAGCUUUCACCAAACUAUGAUUACAAAAUAAAGUAGUUUAAUUGAAAGCUAGAAUCAAAAAGAGGUUAUAGUGUAUAACGCCUAGAGGAGGGCUGAUAUCCAUAGAUCCUAGGCAGAAUACUCAGGGCGAAGGCCACUCUCCACUACUGAUUGACGCUGAGAAACGAAGGUUAGGGUAGGAAAUAGGAUUAGAUACCCCGGUACUCCUUUCUGUAAACGAUGAAUGGUAGUCAUUAGUUUUAUAACUAGAGACGAAGUUAACACAAUAACCAUUCCGCCUUGUGAGUACUACUGCAAAGUAGAAAACAAAAAAAUUAGUCGGUCUCGAAGCAAACGGAGUGAAGCA